CACCUUGCGGUAUUCUUCUAGCUUAGCUAGGAUGAUACAUUUUACCUACCGUUUGACAAACUAUGACAUUUACAAGGUAAGUAGUAAUUAGGGAUGCUUAUCUGUGUGCCAAUUUGCAUCCUACAUGGUUAGCUCAUCGUGAUGUCACAGAAAACCUCCUUGCUAGCUGUACAGGCUUUGCUGCAAAAAAAGACAUUUUCAGUGAGCACCUUCCCUCGUUCUGCUCGCAAUUCCAGCGGACUUUCACUCCUGAUCCACUGGCAAGAUGCUAAUAGUGUCACUGAGGUUUCUGCACACAGAAAAGGUUUGCACAACACAGUUUUCCUACCUCUUCAAAAUCAUUUUGGACAACUUCAACACAGGUCUUUCAUUCAAUGGGAGAAUCAUGAGCAGAAAGUGAUCCUAAGAUCCUUUCUCAAUCCUUUCUACAGGGUUUAAAUACCUACUCCAUGAGACUGGUGAGAACUCACAGCAAGUGGGCACCCUCCCUGUGAUAUCUGUCAAUGCCCACUGGCAUAGCUACACGAGAAGCACAUCAGAAGAGCUAGAAGCUAACACUGGAGACGUGAGAUCAAGCUGAUCUACCUGAUCUAUAUCCAAAGACAUCCAUUCAGAGCUUGCACAGAGACACAGAACAUCACUGGGUUGGUUGUUUUCAGCUGAAGAUCAGCUUUCCUAGGGCAUGUAGGUUAGGGAUACAAGUGGAUGGUCUUCUUUGAUAUAUAAGCAACAGAGCAGAACCACACUCCAAAUCUGAACAAAAUGUUCACAGAUCACAAAGAAAACCAAGCCCACCUCCAAGUGAGUCUGGAAGUGGAUGAUUCAAUUAAUUUUCAGUGAUAUGCAAUUCAUGCCUGGCACCUGAAGACUCUUUUAUUUCAAGGAGUUUUUGCUUUGAGACUGAAAAUGAAAUUGAAAGUAAAAUAUUUGGAACAAGAAGUGAGGUGAGCAUUUCAAAAAAGACUGAACGAAAUAUUUGUGUAACAGUCAGCAAGAGACAACACUUGGCUUUUUGCUCAGCCACACUGCUAAGACUCAUGCAGAGUCUGAUAUUAGAGACUAGGUUAAAUAAACCCCAGAAAUAAUGCUAGAUGUUCA
rnacentral:lncRNA from 1 species